UCCGAGUUGUCCCCGGCAGUCUCCUACGAGUUCCCGCCAUUACGCGCUGGCAACAUAGGACGAGGGUUGCGCUCGUUGCGGGACUUAACCCAACAUCUCACGACACGAGCUGACGACAACCAUGCACCACCUGUGUACGGCCCCGAAGGACACUACAUCUCUGCAGCUUUUCCGUACAUGUCAAGCCUAGGUAAGGUUCUUCGCGUUGCUUCGAAUUAAGCCACAUGCUCCGCUGCUUGUGCGGGCCCCCGUCAAUUCCUUUGAGUUUUAGCCUUGCGGCCGUACUCCCCAGGCGGGGCACUUAAUGCGUUAGCUGCGGCACGGACGACGUUGAAAAUCGCCCACACCUAGUGCCCACCGUUUACGGCGUGGACUAC
rnacentral:misc_RNA from 1 species